CUCUACUGUGCUGUGCUGUACUCUACUGUACUGUGCUGUGCUCUACUGUGCUGUGCUGUACUCUACUGUACUGUGCUGUGCUCUACUCCAACCGUGGUUUGUGACUACUAUGAUUUCCCAUUGUGGCCAAUUCAAUUGCAGUCAUUUUGUUACAGAUUUUAUUUGGUAACAGAGUGACACGUUUGAAUCACUUCAUAAUUCAUAAACAAGACUGUUAUCAGUAAAAACACUACAACUAAUUGUUAGGUCUACCUUUACUUGUUACUUCUGUGAACUUUCAUAAUCCUCCUUCAUGAGGGAGAGAAAUUAGAAAAUAUCUUAAAGAUACUGUAUGUGGGUUUUUGGUAACAGAAUGCCAAGACACUACGCAAAAUAUCUUAAAGAUACUGUAUGUGGGUUUUUGGUAACAGAAUGCCAAGACACUACGCAAAAUGUCUUAAACUUACAGAAGGCAAAUCAUUUCUGCAAAACUAAAUAUAAAUGUUGAUAUUAAUUGACAGGGGCCCUUUACGUCAACAUUAUUGUGUUUUGAUGCAUUUCUAAUACCGUUUAAGACUUUUUCUAGUAGUUGUUUUUUUUAAGAACCCCUUUCCAUUUGUGUGACCAGAAAUGAAAGCUUUUGCUUGUUCCUAAUUCUUGCAAAGGAAAAUGGUUUCAAAACACAUUUAUUGUCUUCAAAAAUAUAGACUCUUAUCCUUCAUUUGACACAAUUUGAUAUGCUCCUAAAGAAACGUGGGUCCUUUUACAUGGAAUAGUCCAUAUAAGAAUAGGGUUCCAUUUGGGAUGUGACCACACACUGACCCACUGGCAGGGUAACUCAUGUAUGUCGGGGUAACCAGCCCUCAUACAUGUCAGGGAGCCUGACGCCACUGCUACUUUUACUGGAGCUGCAGGCCUGUUUGGGUUGGCCUGGCUCCAGCAGGGGUUUAAAUACCAGGCUAGGAUGGAUGGAAUGAUGGAAGGGGAGAGGCUACUCUACAUGUGAAGAGUUGAAGACUCUCAACUCUUGCUUUGGCGGUCAGGAGUGGAACUCACUCUGAUUCGCAGUUACAACUGGUCGUUUCUCUCCAACAGUACUGACACAUCAUGCAAAACCCAAUUUUAUGGAAACAGAGCUAUGUUAAUCAGCUGUUCUCAAUCACAUACAGUACAGACAGACGUCUUUACACAUUGUCCACCUUUCCGUCUCCGAGAAACCUCCCCCAAAAAAACGGAGUUCAUAUACACCUGUAAUUGAGUCCCAUAAUAAUCUCUUCGUUUAUGCGUGGGACUGGGAACAUCAUCUAAUAGACUUCCCAUGUUAUGUCCAGUCCUUCGUACCACUUGAAUCAAACCCACAAAUCAGUUCCACAUGACGGGGGCUGGGGACACAUUGAAAUGUACACAUCUGGAGCGCGUUCAGUUUGCGGGCAUGGGUCUCUCUCUCUCUCUCCUUAGACUCUCUAUCCCUCUCCGUCACUCUCUCACUUCUUU
rnacentral:lncRNA from 13 species